GACGAACGCUGGCGGCGUGCUUAACACAUGCAAGUCGAGCGGUAAGGCCCUUUCGGGGGUACACGAGCGGCGAACGGGUGAGUAACACGUGGGUGACCUGCCCUCAGCUCUGGGAUAAGCCUGGGAAACCGGGUCUAAUACCGGAUAUGACUCCAUGACGCAUGUUGUGGGGUGGAAAGCCUUGUGCGGCUGAGGAUGGGCCCGCGGCCUAUCAGCUUGUUGGUGGGGUGAUGGCCUACCAAGGCGACGACGGGUAGCCGGCCUGAGAGGGCGACCGGCCACACUGGGACUGAGACACAGCCCAGACUCCUACGGGAGGCAGCAGUGGGGAAUCUUGCGCAAUGGGCGAAAGCCUGACGCAGCGACGCCGCGUGAGGGAUGACGGCCUGGUGUAACGUCUU
rnacentral:rRNA from 1 species